rnacentral:rRNA from 1 species
AUGAAUGAACCUCCUAGGCAGAUAUCAGAAGGUUUUCCUGAAACUGGAGGCGUCACUGGAGUCAAACUGCGCUUUGUCGAUGUUGACAGACCAAUAGAUACACUUUUCACCGGUUGCUCAGUACAAUGGCAGAAUGGAGGAAACGCUAAGGUAGCGAUAUUUGAAAAUGAUAGGCAAAUCAUGCAGGGCGGCCUUUCUAAAUUGCAAAUUGAGAUUUUAGCAGUCCAUGCUGAUUUCUUUACUGAGCAAGGACAGGAGGACUUCACCACAGAGGAAUUCAACAAGCAGAUAUAUAUGCACAAAGGGAAAGAGUUAGUGUUGACAACUGUUAAUCUAAUGAAUGGCGAGUCCUCUCUUGGUUCCUUCCUUUUUCCAGAGAGCUCCCAUGGGAAAAAGUUAAGAUUGACAGCACGAGUGAAAAGGCAGGUUCGUACUACCAGAGUUCAGGAAGCAAUCAGUGAUCCUUUUGUCGUCAAAGACCGCCGAAGCGAAUUAAAUAAAAAGAGCUAUCCUCCGUCUAAAGAAGAAGCGGUACAUUGUUUGGAGAAAAUUUCUCUAAAGGGAAAACAUUGUGCUAUCCUUGUUGAAAACAAGAUCAGUACAGUGAAGCACUUGAUGCGUCAUUAUCAUGGAGAUGAAUCCGGUCUCCAAAAGCUUACUGGCAUGAAGAAGGGGGCUUGGAAUACCAUGAUUAAUCAUGCCACCACGUGUGUUCCUGGGAAUGAGAUAUAUUCCUAUUGGGUUCCAGAGGAUAAAUGUGAAAUCGUAUUCAAUGAUUUAUAUGGUCUCGUUGGUAAGAUGACUGAUGAUGACUAUGUUCCGUACAGUGCCAAUGACGUCGAUCAGUUUCCGCAGCAUAAAGUGAACAACUGGAAAAAGUCUGCAUAUAAGAAGUUUGACGAGCGCGAAAGCUCAGGGCAUCUUACCCCUGAUUACUUCAUGAUCAAUGGCCGCCCAGUCCGUGCAGUGCCCCAUGAUGUGGGUCCUUCGGUUCAAGAAUUUGGUGAUCGACGUCCAUUGAAUGGGUACUCACAGGCGGCAGUCCUGUCAAACAACGACGCUGGUCCUUCAAACCAAGAAACACUGCCGUUUUCACAGCCCACAUAUGAACAGAGUGUGCAUCAAGGACUUGGCCAGCACGAUCCUUGUACGUCACAGAGCGGAACUCCUUACUAUCUGCCCCAGGGAAAUUUCAUAAAUGAUCAGGGACAGGGAUCAUUUUCAGCAGAGCCAACUGUUCCGUCCCACAUUCCUGUACCAGUUCCAGAGGAUGACCAGAUCACAUUCACAGCUGCAAGUCUAACUGGCCAACAGAAUGGACACUUCAGCCUCUCGACAACCGAUGCUCCUGUUACUUCUUAUCCUGUAGCAGGUGUUGCUGGGACUUCCUCAGAUGGAGUUAGUUUGGGAACCUCUUCACCUAACCAUGUGCAGACUGACAUGCUCAGUGGGUUAACUCCGAUUGAAUUCCAGGUAUGGCUAGAACUACAAGCACGUCUGGCAGCCCAGGAUUUUGCACAAGCUAACAGCGAACUGCCGAAUUCCGACAGCCAAUUUCAUGGUUAUGAACAUGAUGGUGGCGACCACUGA